CCUCCCUGCCCUUCCUGAGGGCAGCAGCCGGGGCCCUGAGAUAAGAGCUAUCGCUGCGCGGGGCUUUUCCUAGGGUAGUGGCACCGAGGCAAGAUUUAUGACUUCAUGCACCAAAGCUGUAAACAGAGAACUAAAACAGAAAACACUUGCUCCUUAUGGCAUAUUGCAGCGGCCCAACAUGAAAGGAGAAGCCCGGUCGCGUAGGAGGCGAGGCGAGAGGGGGCCGAAAAAUUCGCUGGCCUGCAUUUCUCUUCAAGCCAUCAGCCCACCCCCAGGUUGGAUGUUUCCCUGGAAGAAAGGAGGCGUAGGUCAAUAAUCAACCCCGCACUUUCUCCUCCAAAUUGCUGAUGCAACUGGCUCCCCGUUUUCAGCUAAACUAGCUAGAAGGAACGAAAGAAAAGCUUCGAGAAACCUAGGACAAGAAGAGCGGGACGCUAAGCAGCGGGCGACCUGGGUUGGAGGUGGGACAGGGCAGAGAUGGGCUGCGGCUGCAAAGGCGAAGUGGAGGGGAGAUAUCUCUCCCCACUUUGCGUUCUUUUGGAAUUGAGCAUGCCAUAAAAAGACCCUAGGAAGUCCACUCUCGAGACUAGGCUAGCGUGCCUCUAACCUGGGGAGCCAAAGACCUGCCCAAGAAGGAAAGAAUCUCAAAUAGAAGGCUGGGAUGAGAGGCAUAUGUUAGCUUCCCGGCGCGCACCUCUGAACCAGCAGAGUAGGGUUCCUGAACAGACAAACGUGCUUUCUUCGUUGGCUUUUUCUGCUCCGGCCAGUCGUGGGCCAUAGGCAGGGAAGGGGGGCUAGGUGUGCAAGUAUCUGGGGAAGAAGGCGGCCAGGGAUGCGAACGGAUGUCCCUCCCCAAGUCACUUACAGAAAUGGUUACUUUGAAAGGAUUAAUAGUUCAUUUCUAACAAUCAUUUUGUUCAUCCCUGGUUAAGGUUUUUACAGCGUAAUUGGUUUGGUUUUUGUUUAUUUUAAAACAACAACAAAAAUAAAACCAAUCGCCUUGAAAUGAUUUAUGGGUUCAGAGAUUCUCCCUCCACCCCAGCAGUCCCUGGCUCUGCUCGCGAUCUCUCAAAGCCAAAUUUCUUUCGCGUACGUUUUCUUCCCAUUUUCUCUCGAUCUUCCUUGUGAAUUCAAUCAGCUUCCUUUUUUCCUGACGAACAAGUAGAACGAGGGAACCCCGAGGCUCUAACCUUUCCUCUCGGCCUUGAGACUGAGAAAUCUACAAUUUCUGGGUUUUCGAAGAUAGGAAAAUCAAACUCUUCUGAGAAGAUUGAGAUGUCUUCCAAUCUUCUAUUCGGGGUUUUAUCUGAAAGGGAGAAAAGCUCCUAGGAGCGUGAUUUCCCGAUAUAAGCUAGGGAGCUCUUCCUUUUAGACGUGUUCGGGAUCUGAGGGGGAGAAAGAGACAGGAAUUUUUGCUGCAAAAUCCCACCCGAUCAAAAUCGGAAUGCAACCUACAUCCCCGUCAUUCUUAAGAUGGGGGUGAUGAGGCCGUGCCUAUGGGAAGGAGACUCCUUUCAUCUGCUUUGGCUGCAUCGCCUUCCCCUUUCCGGAGAAGCGAAUUCUGUAAAUUGUUUCUAGCACAUUUUGUUCAGUGCGGAUGCUCUCUUAGAGGAGAUCCGGUAAGCGGAGUCUCGCUUGAUAUCCAUUUGACUCGCCAGCACAAACAGAUAAUAAAGGACGGCUCUGCAAACCUC